AUACGUAGGCGGCAAGCGUUGUCCGGAAUUAUUGGGCGUAAAGAGCAUGUAGGCGGCUUUUUAAGUCUAUCGUGAAAAUGCGGGGCUUAACCCCGUAUGGCGGUAGAAACUGGAGAGCUUGAGCGCAGGAGAGGAAAGGGGAAUUCCCAGUGUAGCGGUGAAAUGCGUAGAUAUUGGGAGGAACACCAGUGGCGAAGGCGCCUUUCUGGACUGUGACUGACGCUGAGAUGCGAAAGCCAGGGGAGCGAACGGGAUUAGAUACCCCGGUAGUCCUGGCCGUAAACGAUGGGUACUAGGUGUGGGAGGUAUCGACCCCUUCCGUGCCGGAGUUAACGCAAUAAGUACCCCGCCUGGGGAAUACGGCCGCAAGGUUGAA
rnacentral:rRNA from 1 species